AUUGAACGCUGGCGGCAUGCUUUACACAUGCAAGUCGAACGGUAACAGGCCGCAAGGUGCUGACGAGUGGCGAACGGGUGAGUAAUGCAUCGGAACGUGCCCAGGCGUGGGGGAUAACUACUCGAAAGAGUAGCUAAUAUCGCAUACGAUCUAUGGAUGAAAGCGGGGGACCGUAAGGCCUCGCGCGAUUGGAGCGGCCGAUGUCAGAUUAGGUAGUUGGUGGGGUAAAGGCUCACCAAGCCAACGAUCUGUAGCUGGUCUGAGAGGACGACCAGCCACACUGGGACUGAGACACGGCCCAGACUCCUACGGGAGGCAGCAGUGGGGAAUUUUGGACAAUGGGCGCAAGCCUGAUCCAGCAAUGCCGCGUGCAGGAAGAAGGCCUUCGGGUUGUAAACUGCUUUUGUACGGAACGAAACGGCUCUGGUUAAUACCCGGGGCUAAUGACGGUACCGUAAGAAUAAGCACCGGCUAACUACGUG
rnacentral:rRNA from 1 species